rnacentral:tRNA from 1 species
GGACUCAUAGCUCAGCUGGAUAGAGUACUCGGCUACGAACCGAGCGGUCUCAGGUUCGAAUCCUGCUGAGUCCGCCA